rnacentral:lncRNA from 1 species
GUCCAUUUGCUGUUUUGGUUAGUAUUUAUUGCCUUAUUUCCCUGUAGAGCCUCUAGCCCUGCUUCAAUAUGCCUUAUUUAACACUUUAGUUCCACACUACAACACGUGCAGUGACAUCACCUGCUUUAAUUAAAUGAUAUUUCUAGAGACAAUGUCUCUUUCAUCAUCACUCUAUGUACAGGUUAACCCUCACUGUAUCCACAUCCUACCAUACCUUUGUCUGUACAUUAUGCCUUGAAUCUAUUCUACUGCGCCCAGAAAUCUGUUCCUUUUACUCUCUGUUCCGGACGUCCUAGACGACCAGUUAUUUUAGCCUUUAGCCGUACCCUUAUCCUACUCCUCCUCUGUUCCUCUGGUGAUGUAGAGGUUAACCCAGGCCCUGCAGCCCCCUGCACCACUCCCAUUCCCCAGGUUCUUAUAGCCUUUAGCCGUACCCUUAUCCUACUCCUCAUCUGAUGAUGUAGAAGUUAACCCAGGCCCUGCAGCCCCCAGCACCACUCCCAUUCCCCAUGCGCUAUCAUUUGUUGACUUCUGUAACCGUAAAAAGCCUUGGUUUCAUGCAUGUUAACAUCAGAAGCCUCCUCCCUACGUUUGUUUUAUUCACUGCUUUAGCACACUCUGCUAACCCCGAUGUCCUAGCCGUGUCUGAAUCCUGGCUUAGGAAGGCCACUAAAAAAAAACUGAAAUUUCCAUCCCCAACUAUAACAUUUUCCGACAAGAUAAAACGGCCAUAGGGAGCGGUGUUGCAAUCUACUGCAGAGAUAGCCUGCAGAGUUCUGUCUUACUAUCCAGGUCUGUGCCCAAACAAUUCGAACUUCUUCUUUUAAAAAUCCACCUUUCCAGAAACAAGUCUCUCACCGUUGCCGCUUGCUAUAGACCACCCUCAGCUCCCAGCUGUGCCCUGGACACCAUAUGUGAACUGAUUGCCCCCCAUCUAUCUU